rnacentral:rRNA from 1 species
UACGUAGGGGCGAGCGUUGUCCGGAUUUAUUGGGCGUAAAGAGCGUGUAGGCGGUUUCGGUAAGUCUGUCGUGAAAUCCUGGGCUCAACCCGGGCGUGCGAUGAUACUGCGGCUAGAGAUGGUAGAGGCGAGUGAUCCGUGUAGCGUGAAAUGCGCAGAUAUCGGAGACACCAGUAGCGAGCGCUCGCUGGCCAUCCUGACGCUGAGACGCGAAGCUAGGGAGCGACAG